GUCAUGGCAACUGGUUCAUUGGACUGACAGUAAUGAUUAUACCAGAUGAAUAUUUAUAAUAUAAUAAUAGAGUGGUGGUGGCUGAGGGUUCAGGUGGAUCACAGUUUUUAUGUCUUAAAGGUUUAUUGAGCGACGUGUCUGAACCGUCACACAGUAUUUAGGUUGAACCUGAACUAGUCGACGUCCUUCCUGUUUCAGAGUUCGUAUAAAAAGUUCCUCAUAUGAGGAAAUAAUCUGUUGUUAAACACUGUUAACGUCACUCUUCUGUUUGGAAGUCACUGUGACGGUGGAGAUAAAUAUAAAUAUAUAUAUGUAUUUAGUAUUUUUGAGUUUUCAGCCUGUGUUGGAUUCAGGGAAAAUCCUCACGCGUGAAGGAGACGUGAGGUUAGAAACCUGUGGACGAGUCGCAGGACCUUUGUCUGCUGUUUGCACUGAUUUAUAAACUCGACGCUUGGCCGCUAAGUGUUUGCACUUUCGAACUCUUUUCUGUUCAAUCAUUCCUUUUUUUCUUUUAUGUCAAUCCUUGUUUCCUCCUGGUUUCUACUCGACAGGCAUCAUGUUUGCUGUGUGGUUAUGUGUUGAAAUUCACUCUGCAUAAGCUCAAUAAAAUCACCACCUGUGAUUGUGUUUCCCUGUGAUUCUGUUUACUGCUCGCUGUAAUAACUCAGAACUGUCUUUGAGGUAAAUCCACAGACUUACGACACUUGAGCUGUGGUGCAGGAUGUUACUGCAGCAUUGAGCUGUACUUCCCCCUCAGUGCCAGAAAUAGAGCGGCGCAGAUCACAGCUGUGAUGAUGUUCGCAGGAAAGAGGCGCCGCUGAAGGCACUCGGAUGUUCAGUCAGCACCCAGACAUCAUGAAGAGUCCACCGGUGUUCCUGCUCCUCGCUGUCCCGCAGCCCUCAGUAGUGGAGGUGUAUGAGGAGGAGGAGUCGGUCCUGCUGCCCUGUCAGGGACAGGGUCCUGUACUCAGCGGUGCCGCGGUGGUGUGGAACCGGAAAAACUUCCAGAACCCGUCAGUCCACAUCCGUCUGUCAAUCAGUGACGAUCUCAGUGAGCAGAACCAGCGGUACAGAGGUCGAACGUCCAUGAGGCCCGACGCCCUGCAGACCGGAGACUUCAGCCUGACCCUGAGGAACCCGACUCUCACCGACAGCGGAACCUACACCUGCACCACCCACAGCGCCGGCCGAAUUCUGAACCAAACAGUGGUAGAGCUCAGAGUGCGGUCCCCUCCUCUUCCUCCUGAGUUCUGCGUGCUGACCUUCAGACUCCUCCUCCAUCUUAUAGUCUUCUGCCCGUACUGCAUCUCCGCCAGCCUGAUGAUGUCAAUCUACUGCAGCAGGAGGACAGCAAGCGAUGCAGCCGUUUCCAUGGAGACGGCCCAGCAUGUUUCAGGAGAGCAGGCUGGAGAGCGCGACGCCGUCGUCACCGAGUACAACUUCUGAGAUGAAGAGAGUAUUUACCUGGCUCGUAGUGUGAUUAGUACAAAUGAACAGGUCUUUACACGUCAUUACUGAAGUAUUAAAGGUGCAGUGAGUAGGAACAUAAUGAGUUAAUCAUGUUUGUGUGAAGCGUCUGUGACUUCCUGACGCAUAUAAUAAAAUAAAAGUUAAAUAAAAGUGGGAAACUUAC
rnacentral:lncRNA from 1 species